rnacentral:lncRNA from 10 species
GAGCUAGCAGUGAAGCUUAUACGUUAAGCAGUUACUCACAAUUAAUACACUGCGUAACUGAAAUUUAAACCAUGUGGGGUCUAGUGUCAUUUAACUGAACAGUAAUAAAUGAAAUUUGUGCAUAUGAAAAUUGUUCAAAGCAUUAACUGCCUUACUAACUAAUGCAGAGAUUGUGUAAGAAGAAAACAGAAGAAAGCCUAGGAGAGAAUCCUGAGGAAAACCAAAGAUUUAAGGGAUGAGCAAAAGAGAAAUCUGCACAGUAACUCAUAAAGAGUGGUCGAAGAGGUAAAGAGAAAACAAGAGCAUAUGGUGUCAUACAAGCCACAUUGUCUCUAUGGUGGUGCCUUGGGUCUGCAUUUCAGCCAGCACAAAGGAGAAAGAAGAAGGUAUAGACACAUCACUUUAUUUUAAUGACAAGAUCCAGGAGUUGUUCUCGUCACUGUCACUCACAUCCCAUUGGCCAAAACUUAAUCACAUGGUCAUAUGCAGCUGCAAUGUGACAGGAAAUGUAGUCUUUUUUCAGAAUGACUGUUACCCUAGGUAAAAUUUGGAGAUAUUCUUUCUGUGAGAGAAAAAGAGAGUACAGCUAAUGGGAGAUAACUAGUGGCUACUGUCAUAUCACUUGACGUCUUUCAAAUCUUUGAUGCUGAUCAAUCUCUGCAAUUCCCCCAGUGUGCAGUUGUACUUUUGGUAAGAAGAGGAAGCUCAAGAUUUGACUUUUUCUCCCAUAAUGACCCUCAUUUUGGGGGUCAGAAAGGAAGCAUGGACAUUCACUCAUCUCUAUAUGAAGGAAAUGUGGAAACAAUCACAGGAUGCUUUUACAGACCUAUAAGUGCCAUUGUGACAGAAUUAGGCCCGCAAAUCCAAUUGUCACCUAAACUGCAUGCAUCCCAGAUUCUGCCAGAUACAUCACAGUGACAUUCUGCAUCGUGUUCAUUUAUAUUCAGGAGCCAAUACUCCCUGAAAGAUCUGGCUAUUUCCCAUCUCCCACUACACAGUUACCAUGGUAAAUAACCAAAGAUACUUCUGGAGAAGGCUGGGAGAAAGAUUUACAGGAAGUACUUCUGAUGAUAUCACAAGGUCCUUCUUCAGGUUACCUGGCUUCCUCUAUAUUCAAUGUUUGGAAAUAAACUCAAGUUUCAGAAUUGAGUGAGCAGCUAUCAUGACAUCAUGGUAAUUCAUGACAAGCCUUGAUCAGGUUUUAUCAUCCCAUGUAUUAUUGUUAUUAUUUUUCAGACCUCAUACAAUUAUAUGAAUCCCAUGAAAGGUUAAGACACUGCCACAGGUUUUCCUGUGUUAGAUCACCCCAAUUACUGUGGGUUGUAGUAAAAAUCCCACUUUGUCUCUGACUCUUUUGUGUGCCCCCUGGACCGUCAUCCCAGAAACCAAUUAUCCCAAUUUCUAUCAGGGAUCCCAUUUAAUAGUAACAUUGUCCACCUUCCUUCCCAGCCUGAAGGGGAUUUUUCAAAGAUGCUGUCCCUCCCAAGGAAAUGCACAUGUGUUGAGGAUAGUUAGGAGGUAGGUGAGAAGUUUGCCUAUAAUGAAUUGACUCUAACCUUUUCUGUCUAAAACUUUGGGUUGCUUUUUCUACAUCACUUUGAGAAAUUUUUGGUAUUUAAGCUUCAUGCAAUGUAGGUCAGCUUUGAAUGUAUAUUUUAUUCAACCUUCGGAGCAGACAAUGAAAACUAUACUCAGAGGUUUCAGCAGCACUUUGAAUCCAGAAUUAAUAACAAUUACAACAGUAUUCAGAAAUUCAGCCUGAUCUAAAGUAAUAUUCUAUCCCCCCAGGCUAGCAUCUGCAAAAUCUAUACCCGCACAUUUGCCCCCACAUUGAGCACGAUAAAAAUGAACAAAAUCUUGCAAUUACUUAGUAGCCUUCUUCUAGGUACAAAAUUGUUCUUGUCCUACCUGAGCCCUAUUAGUCACAGGUUGGAAGCAAUAGUAAGGGGAAGGAAUGGGUUAUAAAGAGGAUUUACAUCCUCUUGCAAGUUGAGUAUGUCAGAGGAACCUUCAAGCAAACCAAGAUCAGCCUCAUUUGAUAUGGCAGGAGGGAGUGCUUAUGUUGUAAAAGAAGGCUUUCAGUGGAACUUGAGUAUUCAGAGUAGCUGGAGCUAUUUAAAUCUUCCCAAAUGUUGUCAUUAUAAUUCUCAGUUUUUGCUCCUUGAUGUAAGAGAUCAGAAGAUAGGUGUGGUGUGUUAUUGAGAACCAUUAGGGGUUUUCAAACUUUAGUGUCCCUCAUCACCUGGAGAGCUUUACAAGAAAUGUGUUAGGAGGCUUGAAGAAACAGACUCUAGCCUGAGAUUCCAGGAAGAGUAUCAAAAACCAUACCACAAAACUAGGCUAAGAAAGCUUCCACCUUUGCUUGAGUCCUGAUCAGAAAGCUGUCACCACACUUGCUGGCUUUACUUGCACUAGAAUUUGUGCCAGACAAAUAAAUCUUCUGUCUCCUGGCUCUCUCAAGUAACUGGUUCUGAAUAAAAGUCUAAUGCAUCUGAUUAGCAGAAUGUAUACCACAACUAGGACACAUAGGAAACUUUUAAUUAAUUUAUUUGUUUUAAUUUUCCAGACUGUUUACUCUAGAAAGGCACACAAGAAGGAAGUGAGAUUGGGUAUUGAGUACUCCUGCACUUGUUUCAAGUUGGGUAGGUACAUACUCACUUGUGAGUAAACCUCGUUAAAGUCCAUCUCUCCCACUAGAAAGAAAGCGUCAAGAAAGCUGAAUCUAAUGUCUAUUUACUCCUGUGCCCCUAGCACCUAGCAGCACAGUGCCUGGCACAUAAUGGCAUUCAAUAUAGAUUUGCUAAUACGCUUAUUGCCCAGUGAAUCAGCAGUUUCUGAAAGGAGGGGAAGGAGGAGACAAGCUCUCUGAAGAAAACCUGAAUCAGUUUUAUAGCCUUUGCUUAUGCUCAGCCCUGGUGCUCUCCAUAUUGUCUACCACACUAGCAUUGUGGACAAACAUAAAAAUUUAGGACUGUUAUUUUUGUUUUGUUUUUU